UACAGAGGUCCCAAGCGUUGUUCGGAUUCACUGGGCGUAAAGGGUGCGUAGGCGGCCAGGUAAGUCUGCUGUGAAAUCCCGCAGCUCGACUGCGGAACUGCAUUGGAAACUAUCUGGCUAGAGGAAUGGAGGGGAGACUGGAAUUCUCGGUGUAGCAGUGAAAUGCGUAGAUAUCGAGAGGAACACCAGUGGCGAAGGCGAGUCUCUGGACAGUUCCUGACGCUGAGGCACGAAGGCCAGGGGAGCAAACGGG
rnacentral:rRNA from 1 species